GAUGAACGUUGGCGGCGUGCCUAAUACAUGCAAGUCGAACGAAGACUGUAGUAAUACUGUCUUAGUGGCGAACGGGUGAGUAACGCGUGGGUGACCUGCCCCGAAGUGUGGGAUAACAGUUCGAAAGAACUGCUAAUACCGCAUAAUAUCCAAGAGAUUAGACGCUUUUGGAUUAAAGGAGUAAUUCGCUUCGGGAGGGGCCCGCGUCCCAUCAGCUAGUUGGUAAGGUAAUGGCUUACCAAGGCGAUGACGGGUAGGGGACCUGAGAGGGUGGCCCCCCACAAUGGAACUGAAACACGGUCCAUACACCUACGGGUGGCAGCAGUAGGGAAUAUUGCAAAUGGGCGAAAGCCUGAUGUAGCAACGCCGCGUGUGCGAUGAAGGUCUUCGGAUUGUAAAGCACUUUUUGGAGGGAUGAGGAAGGACAGUACCUCCAGAAUAAGCCUCGGCUAACACGUG
rnacentral:rRNA from 1 species